rnacentral:lncRNA from 1 species
GAAACUAGAAUUAAAAAGAGAAAUAAUGCAAUUGGUCCCAUAUUUUUUGGACCAAUAAUAAAAGAGAUAUAAAUUUUUGAAAUAAAAGGAAAUAAAGAAAAUAAAAUCAGAAAUUAGAAAAUAGCAAAAAUCAGGAAGCAUUGGAUGGAUCCUCAUUAAUUAACGUGGAGGAUCUAAUGGUCAUGGCAUGCGCGCGCACCAAAGUCCU